CCCUUAGAUGCUCUGGGCCGCACGCGCGCUACACUGGUCGAUGCAACGAGUUUCUUUCCUUGGCCGACAGGCCUGGGCAAUCUUUGAACAUCGAUCGUGAUCGGGAUAGAUUCUUGUAAUUUUUGAUCUUAAACGAGGAAUUCCUAGUAAACGCAAGUCAUCAGCUUGCAUUGAUUACGUCCCUGCCCUUUGUACACACCGCCCGUCGCACCUACCGAUUGAAUGGUCCGGUGAAAUCUCCGGACUGGCGUGAGUCGGAGCAAUCUGACAAACGCCGGAAAGUUGAGUAAACCUUACCAUUUAGAGGAAGGUGAAGUCGUAACA
rnacentral:rRNA from 1 species